GUGUCAGCAGCCGCGGUAAUACGAAGGGGGCUAGCGUUGCUCGGAAUUACUGGGCGUAAAGGGCGCGUAGGCGGACAGUUAAGUUGGGGGUGAAAGCCCGGGGCUCAACCUCGGAAUUGCCUUCAAUACUGGCUGUCUUGAGUGUGAGAGAGGUGUGUGGAACUCCGAGUGUAGAGGUGAAAUUCGUAGAUAUUCGGAAGAACACCAGUGGCGAAGGCGACACACUGGCUCACUACUGACGCUGAGGCGCGAAAGCGUGGGGAGCAAACAGGAUUAGAAACCCCCGUAGUCC
rnacentral:rRNA from 1 species